UAUAUAUAUACACACACUACUACUACUAUUUUUUUUAAUUAAAAUAUAGGGAAAGAUAAGCCACCGCUAACCAUAUUGAUUUAGAAUAUAAAAAUUCACCAAGAUGUAAGGUUAAUUUUUCCUUUAAAUCUGUGGGAUUUAAUAUGUCUAUGUGCAAAAGGUAGAAACCUUCACAGUUAGCAUAUACCCAUGAACACGUAUAAAGGAAAACACUACCUUCGAACAAGAAAAUAAAGAUAAUAAUUUUUUUUAGCACGAAAAUAAGGAUAAUAAUUUAAAUGACAAGAAAAGUAAAUGAUUUGAAAAGUGAAUAGCAAGGAAAAUAAAUGACAUGAAUGUAAAGAGCAAGGAAAGUAAAUGACAUAAUUGUAAAGAGCAAGGGAAUUAAAGAGAAUGUAUUAAAAUUUAGAAUGUAUAUACAAAAGAAGACGUAAAAGGAAUGUAUAUGCAAAAAAAAUGGAAAGAGAAAGGGGAAUAGAGUAGUAGCUACACUACCCUAGCUCUAGCAAAGAACUUUGGAGGCUUACUUAUGGGUUUUUGGGAGAAAAAAGGGGCUGGAAUUUAUGGGUUUGGUAUCUAUUCUAGAGAGGGAAAAUAUGCCUAGUGAGAAUCCUAGAGAGGUUGGAUAAGGUAGGGAAUUUUUGUGUAUGAAAAUUUGGGGAAACUACACCUUACCCCCUUAAAUUGUGACCCAUUUUACACUUACCCUCCUAAACUAUGAGAAUGCACACUUAUUUCUCUAAACUAUUACCCAUGGGAUGGGAUGUAAAGUGUUAUACGAGUAAUAGUUUAAGCGGUUAAGUGAGCGCUCUCAUAGUUUAAGAGGGCAAGUGUUAGGUAAAGUGUGCAUUCUCAUAGUUUAUGAUAGGGGUGAGCAAAACAUUACUGGAGCUGACCCAACCGACCGGCGCCGAUGAUACCGUCCUGAGUCUAUCAUCGACCGAAUGAGCCGAGGCCAGCGUUCGGAAUUCGCCCUCUGUUUUCAAUGCGGUGCGAUGGAGUCACCGGCUUGAGAUAUCCGAAACCGAGACAGUGGCCGAACCGAGCCGAUCCAUAUUCUGUCGUUCUUAAUUUUUUUAAUUUUUUAUUUUUUAUUUUUAUGAAACUGAUGAGACGACGUCGUACUCGUAUGUAUGGGUGUGAUUAAAAAAAAAACUAAAGCAAAACGGUGCGUUUUAUGCUAGGUUUUCAGAUUCUCAGGGUAUAUAUACAUAUUUUUCUCUCAGAAUCAUUUAACUCUCUCUCUCACUCUCACCUCUCGCCUGACACAGCGCCUUGUCGUCGCACACCAGUCACGGCAAAACGUAUUUUGUAGGAGUUCUAGAAUGAUGCAUAGUGCACAGACUUACUGGACAAUGGACUUACAAGAAUUAGCAUUCUUUUACCUAUAUGCUAAUUAUAUUUGUACAUGUUAUUGGUAGUGGACUUUUCACUAAUGGUAGUUAUUUAGGUAUUCAUGGGUGGGAUUAUUAUUGGGGAUACAAGCAAUUAGCAUUCUUUUGCAUAAAUGUUAAUUUAAUUUGUAUAUCUUUCUUUUUGGCAUUUGUGGAUAGUGAAAAAUGAUUCUGUAAUACGUUAUUAAGUGGAUACAUUAACACUUAUUGUUAUUGGCACUGACACACACAGUGACACUAAUGAUAUUAUAUACUACAUGAUAGUAUUUUGGGAGUUGAACUCUUAUUGAGGCAA